CACAAUGAUGUUAAAACCUGAUUUGAUUUUAUGUUAAAUAUGAAAUUAUUAUUUAUUUAUAUUCGUCACUACCUCUGAGU
rnacentral:snoRNA from 1 species